rnacentral:lncRNA from 1 species
GAGUUGAUGAGAAAGUGGGCAGAUCGGCUCUAUUCACAGCUGGGGGAAACUGACCACUUUAACAAAAGGAAGAAUGCUCAGGUAACAUCUAGCCCAAAGGUCGCUCAGGAAUGUUCAAAGCACUCAGGAGAGAGUGAAGUAUCCCAUCUUUGGGACACACAAGUCCCACUCAGCAUCCAUUGAAAGCGAAGCACCAAAAGCAUUGAGAUGGUGGCAGGACCUCAUUUUCCCUCUUCUCUAUUCCCUUACUCUUUCUCCAGCACAGAAGAAGCCUUGAUCUGCUUAGAAGCACUCCCCAGCAUCUGAACCAUCUCUUCCAAGCUAUUCCCCCAGAAGACAGGAAGACUGGGCGGUUUCCUCUGUAACAGCUCCCAGAACUGCAGCUUCCAGUGGUUUCU